rnacentral:rRNA from 1 species
UACGUAGGGUGCAAGCGUUGUCCGGAAUUAUUGGGCGUAAAGAGCUCGUAGGCGGUUUGUCACGUCGGAUGUGAAACCCUGAGGCUCAACCUCAGGCCUGCAUUCGAUACGGGCAGACUAGAAUUCGGCAGGGGAGACUGGAAUUCCUGGUGUAGCGGUGAAAUUCGUAGAUAUCGGGAGGAACACCAGUGGCGAAGGCGGCGAUCUGGGUCGAUACUGACGCUGAGGUGCGAAAGCGUGGGGAGCAAACAGG